GAUGAACGCUGGCGGCGUGCCUAACACAUUCAAGUCGAACGGACAUAGAGGUGCUUGCACCUUUAUGUUAGUGGCGGACGGGUGAGUAACGCGUGAGUAACCUGCCUAUACGAGUGGAAUAACACAGGGAAACUUGUGCUAAUACCGCAUAAUAUGUAUUAAUCGCAUGUUUGAUACAUCAAAGAGCAAUCGCGUAUAGAUGGACUCGCGUCUGAUUAGAUAGUUGGUGAGGUAACGGCUCACCAAGUCGACGAUCAGUAGCCGAACUGAGAGGUUGAACGGCCACAUUGGGACUGAGACACGGCCCAAACUCCUACGGGAGGCAGCAGUGGGGAAUAUUGCACAAUGGGGGAAACCCUGAUGCAGCAACGCCGCGUGAGUGAAGAAGUAUUUCGGUAUGUAAAGCUCUAUCAGCAGGGAAGAAAAUGACGGUACCUGACUAAGAAGCCCCGGCUAACUACGUG
rnacentral:rRNA from 1 species